CUGACCUCGGAUCAGACGUGAUUACCCGCUGAACUUAAGCAUAUCACUAAGCGGAGGAAAAGAAACUAACAAGGAUUCCCCUAGUAACGGCGAGUGAACAGGGAAAAGCCCAGCACCGAAGCCUGUGGCCAUUUGGUUACAAGGCAAUGUGGUGUUUAGGUCGUUCCGCAGAGGUUCUGCUCCACCCUAAGUCCAUCAAUGAGUACGGUAGUAUGGACGUGGCCCAUAGAGGGUGAAAGGCCCGUGGGGGUGGAGAUCCGAUUGGCCAGAGCCUCUCUGGGUAGACCUUGGAGUCGGGUUGUUUGAGAAUGCAGCCCAAAGUGGGUGGUAAACUCCAUCCAAGGCUAAAUACUAACACGAGUCCGAUAGCGAACAAGUACCGUGAGGGAAAGUUGAAAAGUACUUUGAAGAGAGAGUAAACAGUGCGUGAAACCGCUCAGAGGUAAACGGGUGGCGUUGAACUGCAAGCUUUGAGAAUUCAGCUGAUGAGUGUGGGUUGAGCUUGGUCAAAUUGGCGAACUCCGGGGUCUGCGUAGUAGCAGGUCUUCGCCUUCGGGUGGGGAUGCGCGAUGCACUGGUCAAGUGUUGUGCGCUCUGGUUGUUCUUCGGCCUGCUCGUCAGUGCACUUUCUCAGAGUGUUCACCACGACCGGCACCGCUGUCUGGCUGCUAUGGUUAAACCGGUUAAACAUUGUCCUUGUGGCUUUGCUUAGUCGGGAUGGCAGGUAGCUCGUUGACUUGCUUGUGGCUUGCUGCAGGCGUUCGGUUUUCGAGUGUAAUCAGCUGACUGUAGUGGUUCUGUGCAGUGUGUCGGAGGCGGCGGCUUGAGGUGUGUGCAGGCGUUCCUGUUCUGCUGACUUGUCCGGGUUUGGUUAUUAUGUUGCCUGUUCAAGCAGGCCUGGUGAUGGCUCGGAUUUGUUCGGUGGGCGGUUGCGUUUGUGGCACUUUUCCAAGGGCCAACAGUCUGUGGUGUAGUGGUAGACUUCCACCCGACCCGUCUUGAAACACG
rnacentral:rRNA from 1 species